GAGCGGCGGUGGGCGGCUGACCGAAAGGAGGAAAGUCCCCCCACCCGCUGUGGCGGAAGGCCCCUGAGAAGGGGCGGAGGAGGAACAGAAACGAGACCGGUGCGGGGAAAUGCGAUGAUUCCGCAAGGAUGAGGUCACCCGCUCCGGAUGAAACGGCCUCCUCCCCGCCGGGUGCAACGCGUAAGCGGCUCAGUCUAAUGCCGCCGGAACAGAAGGGGGCUUACUACCGCCACUC
rfam:Archaeoglobus fulgidus DSM 4304, complete genome.